GCAGCAGGCGCGCAAAUUACCCACUCCCGGCACGGGGAGGUAGUGACGAAAAAUAACGAUACGGGACUCAUCCGAGGCCCCGUAAUCGGAAUGAGUACACUCUAAACCCUUUAACGAGUAUCCAUUGGAGGGCAAGUCUGGUGCCAGCAGCCGCGGUAAUUCCAGCUCCAAUAGCGUAUAUUAAAGUUGUUGCGGUUAAAAAGCUCGUAGUUGGACUUGUGUCCCACGCUGUCGGUUCACCGUUUGUCGGUGUUAACUGGCAUGCCUGUGUGGACGUCCUGCCGGUGGAUGCGGUCGGCCGUGGGCCUCUGGUCUGCGUGUCGGCGGUCCGAUGCAAUCCUACCGCGGUGCUCUUCACCGAGUGUCGAGGUGGGCCGGCACGUUUACUUUGAACAAAUUAGAGUGCUCAAAGCAGGCAGUGGUUCGCCUGAAUAUUGUGUGCAUGGAAUAAUGGAAUAGGACCUCGGUUCUAUUUUGUUGGUUUUCGGAACCUGAGGUAAUGAUUAAUAGGGACAGACGGGGGCAUUCGUAUUGCGACGUUAGAGGUGAAAUUCUUGGAUCGUCGCAAGACGAACCUAAGCGAAAGCAUUUGCCAUGAGUGUUUUCAUUAAUCAAGAACGAAAGUUAGAGGUUCGAAGGCGAUCAGAUACCGCCCUAGUUCUAACCAUAAACGAUGCCAGCUAGCGAUCCGCCGAAGUUCCUCCGAUGACUCGGCGGGCAGCUUCCGGGAAACCAAAGCUUUUGGGUUCCGGGGGAAGUAUGGUUGCAAAGCUGAAACUUAAAGGAAUUGACGGAAGGGCACCACCAGGAGUGGAGCCUGCGGCUUAAUUUGACUCAACACGGGAAACCUCACCAGGCCCGGACACCGGAAGGAUUGACAGAUUGAUAGCUCUUUCUUGAUUCGG
rnacentral:rRNA from 1 species